AUUGAACGCUGGCGGCAGGCCUAACACAUGCAAGUCGAACGAGUGGCGGACGGGGGAGUAAGGUCUGGGAAACUGCCCGACGGAGGGGGAAAACUAAUGGAAACGGUAGCUAAUACCGCAUACCAUCGGAUGUUCCCAGAUGGGAUUAGCUAGUAGGUGGGGUAACGGCUAACCUAGGCGACGAGCCCUAGCUGGUCUGAGAGGAUGACCAGCCACACUGGUACUGAGACACGGUCCAGACUCCUACGGGAGGCAGCAGUGGGGAAUAUUGCACAAUGGGCGCAAGCCUGAUGCAGCCAUGCCGCGUGUAUGAAGAAGGCCUUCGGGUUGUAAAGUACUUUCAGCGAGGAGGCGUUACUCGCAGAAGAAGCACCGGCUAACUCCGUGCCAGCAGCCGCGGUAAUUC
rnacentral:rRNA from 1 species